rnacentral:rRNA from 1 species
CCUACGGGAGGCAGCAGUGAGGAACAUUGGUCAAUGGACGAGAGUCUGAACCAGCCAAGUAGCGUGAAGGAUGACUGCCCUAUGGGUUGUAAACUUCUUUUAUAUGGGAAUAAAAUGUUCCACGUGUGGGAUUUUGUAUGUACCAUAUGAAUAAGGAUCGGCUAACUCCGUGCCAGCAGCCGCGGUAAUACGGAGGAUCCGAGCGUUAUCCGGAUUUAUUGGGUUUAAAGGGAGCGUAGGUGGAUUGUUAAGUCAGUUGUGAAAGUUUGCGGCUCAACCGUAAAAUUGCAGUUGAAACUGGCAGUCUUGAGUACAGUAGAGGUGGGCGGAAUUCGUGGUGUAGCGGUGAAAUGCUUAGAUAUCACGAAGAACUCCGAUUGCGAAGGCAGUUCACUGGACUGCAACUGACACUGAGGCUCGAAAGUGUGGGUAUCAAACAGGAUUAGAUACCCCAGUAGUC